rnacentral:rRNA from 1 species
UGGGAGCUUGCUCCCUGAGAUCAGCGGCGGACGGGUGAGUAACACGUGGGUAACCUGCCUGUAAGACUGGGAUAACUCCGGGAAACCGGGGCUAAUACCGGAUAACACCUACCCCCGCAUGGGGGAAGGUUGAAAGGUGGCUUCGGCUAUCACUUACAGAUGGACCCGCGGCGCAUUAGCUAGUUGGUGAGGUAAUGGCUCACCAAGGCGACGAUGCGUAGCCGACCUGAGAGGGUGAUCGGCCACACUGGGACUGAGACACGGCCCAGACUCCUACGGGAGGCAGCAGUAGGGAAUCUUCCGCAAUGGACGAAAGUCUGACGGAGCAACGCCGCGUGAGUGAAGAAGGUUUUCGGAUCGUAAAACUCUGUUGUUAGGGAAGAACAAGUGCCGUUCGAAUAGGGCGGCGCCUUGACGGUACCUAACCAGAAAGCCACGGCUAACUACGUGCCAGCAGCCGCGGUAAUACGUAGGUGGCAAGCGUUGUCCGGAAUUAUUGGGCGUAAAGCGCGCGCAGGUGGUUUCUUAAGUCUGAUGUGAAAGCCCACGGCUCAACCGUGGAGGGUCAUUGGAAACUGGGGAACUUGAGUGCAGAAGAGGAAAGUGGAAUUCCAAGUGUAGCGGUGAAAUGCGUAGAUAUUUGGAGGAACACCAGUGGCGAAGGCGACUUUCUGGUCUGUAACUGACACUGAGGCGCGAAAGCGUGGGGAG